AGUCGAGCGACAGAUAAGGAGCUUGCUCCUUUGAAGUUAGCGGCGGACGGGUGAGUAACACGUGGGUAACCUACCUAUAAGACUGGGAUAACUUCGGGAAACCGGAGCUAAUACCGGAUAACAUUUAGAACCGCAUGGUUCUAAAGUGAAAGAUGGUUUUGCUAUCACUUAUAGAUGGACCCGCGCCGUAUUAGCUAGUUGGUAAGGUAACGGCUUACCAAGGCGACGAUACGUAGCCGACCUGAGAGGGUGAUCGGCCACACUGGAACUGAGACACGGUCCAGACUCCUACGGGAGGCAGCAGUAGGGAAUCUUCCGCAAUGGGCGAAAGCCUGACGGAGCAACGCCGCGUGAGUGAUGAAGGGUUUCGGCUCGUAAAACUCUGUUAUUAGGGAAGAACAAAUGUGUAAGUAACUGUGCACAUCUUGACGGUACCUAAUCAGAAAGCCACGGCUAACUACGUGCCAGCAGCCGCGGUAAUACGUAGGUGGCAAGCGUUAUCCGGAAUUAUUGGGCGUAAAGCGCGCGUAGGCGGUUUCUUAAGUCUGAUGUGAAAGCCCACGG
rnacentral:rRNA from 1 species